rnacentral:lncRNA from 1 species
UCUUUCUCACUAGCUCCCAGUGCAGCACAGGAACCUAACAAUAGUGUUUUCACGCCGUGAGCCCUGCUAACUGGCAAAGCCGGCUCGUUGUCUCUGGUUUAAAGGAAGAGUGGGGUGGAGGAAGGUGGAGGGGAUGUUCAUGUGGCUCAAGCCCAGGGCCAGUGGCAGGAGGGACUCAAGAUCUGUUUUUAAGGACGACAUGUCAGCAUCUUAACUGGGGCAUCCAGCAAGCAGACAUCCCUCAUUAAGACCUUAAUCCAG